rnacentral:rRNA from 1 species
UACAGAGGUCUCAAGCGUUGUUCGGAAUUACUGGGCGUAAAGGGCGUGCAGGCGGUUGGUUAAGUCCAGGGUGAAAGCUCCCGGCUCAACUGGGAGAGGUCCUUGGAUACUGGCCGACUUGAGGGAGGCAGAGAGAGUGGAAUUCCCGGUGUAGUGGUGAUAUGCGUAGAUAUCGGGAGGAACACCAGUGGCGAAGGCGGCCUCUCUGGGCCUUACCUGACGCUGAGACGCGAAGCGUGGGAGCGACGGA